rnacentral:misc_RNA from 1 species
CCCAAGCUUGUCUAGCUUAAUCUUCAAGAAUCCCACUAGAAAUACUAUGAAAUUUGAAGCUAUUUGGACUUCAGUAACUAUGCUUUAUCAAAUUUCAUUAUCUGAUCCAAACAUUCUUAUCUAUAUCAUAAAGACAAAAGCAGAAUCCAAUACAAACUACAGUUGAGAAACAAAAGCAUUCUUCUAUUGCUAGGUUGAAUUUAAAAUGAGAAAUAGAGACAAAGUGAAAUCUUAGAGCCAACAAUCAACAAAAGCAAAUGAAAAUGACAGUAGUGUCAGCCAUUCAUGAAAGCAUAACUCUAGGAGGAAUUCAAAUUAUACUCACAUGGAAGUGCAUAAAAAUUUUCUCCAUGCAUGAGCAAUCUACACUCCAUUAGAAUAGUCACUCAUUCACAAAGCAUCUUUAUCACUCCAAAGACAAAACCAGAAAUAGUUCAAAUUACUAACCAAAAAACAAGCAAGCAGCAUGACAAAAUCUUUUAGCAUAAAAUUUUAAUUAUUUGUAAAGCAGCAAUAAAACCUGAAGCUAAAGUUCAAGUGUAGACAUCUAUUCUAGGCAAAACAUCAAAGUCUACAUCAAUAUUGUUUCAGUUCUGAAAAUUGAAAACCUUUCACUUCUCGAAAUAUGAAUUGCAUCCUCACUUCCAGCUCGACGGCCAGAAAGUAUGAACCCCAUAACCAGUCUUCCAAUUGUCCAGGUAGAUAACCUUAUUCACAGCCCAAAAUGAAACCACUAGUGAAACGACCAUAACCAAUCUCUGGGCUGUCACAUUCUUAACCAUCACAAGCACAUGAGUCACAAAGGCUAACAAUAGCCCCACAAUGGUGUACAAGAACCCAAUGGCGAACCCCUCUGCUCCCAGCUGCAUCCCGGACCCCUGGUAAAAGAAAAUCAGCUUGCUGGGGUCGUUUCGAUCGGCCAAAAACAUGGGCAUCUUACGAAUUAUAUUGUGCAUUGCACCAGAAACACUGAAGAAGUACACAAACACGGCCCCACCAAGCCAUAUUUUCGGAUCGUGAAGCAAUGUCUGGCCGGUCAACACCUUCUUGACCAUAAACGGCGUCCAGAUUAGCAAAACAGCGAAUAGAAAACCCAAUUGGCUCCUGGAGAGAAUUGGGGGACGGUGGAUAGGUCCCACAGAGAGUUUGGUCCUGGACUCGACGAAAUCUGACAUUGAUUCGGCCAUUCUAGAGAAAUCCCCCUGAUCCAUUGCGUCAGAUUCUUGUGGGUUCUUCACAUUGGGGCCCACGAGGCGGAUGUGAGGGAGGGAAUUGACGCCAAAGAGGGAGAAGGAAGAUUGGGAUUCCUUGAACUCGAUGUCGCAGAAGAAGAGUUUAGCGUAGGACGUGGAGGAUUUAUCAGGAUUGUUGAGGAUGAAGGAGGAGGCGACGAGAAAGAACUCGCGGUGGAGGUCUUGGAGGUGGAGCUCGUGCUUGUCAUGGAGCUGCUUGGCAUCGAAGAAGAUGAGGAGGGAGUAGGGGCGUGGAGUUUUGGUGGAGGUUAGGAAGCGAGAGAUGGAGUGGUCAUCCAGGUGGAUUACGCCUGUUUUGGAUUGGGAUUGCAGGAAGAGGAGUUCGUUGACGAGCUCUUCUGGGUCAGAAGUGGAAAUGGUGAGAGAGAGAAAGAGGGAGAGGAGUGUUGUUAAGAGAAGCAGACGGGUGGCGAUGUUUUGAGAGAUCGCCAUUUUUCUGGGUGGAAAGAAAUAGUUUCGUUUCAUUUCGUUUUUGUUUCGGUGAAGUCAAUAGAAGAGGAGACUUUUGACUUUUUUUUUUUAAUUAUA